rnacentral:rRNA from 1 species
AUUGAACGCUGGCGGCAGGCCUAACACAUGCAAGUCGAGCGAGUGGCGGACGGGUGAGUAAUGUCUGGGAAACUGCCUGAUGGAGGGGGAUAACUACUGGAAACGGUAGCUAAUACCGCAUACCAUCAGAUGUGCCCAGAUGGGAUUAGCUAGUAGGUGGGGUAAUGGCUCACCUAGGCGCCGAUCCCUAGCUGGUCUGAGAGGAUGACCAGCCACACUGGACGGAGGACACGGUCCAGACUCCUCGGGUAGGCAGCAGUGGGGAAUAUUGCACAAUGGGGGCAGGCCUGAUGCAGCAAGGCCGCGGUUGUGAAGAAGGCCUUCGGUUGGAAAAGCACUUUCAGCGAGGAGGCGUUACCCGCAGAAGAAGCACCGGCUAACUCCGUGCCAGCCGCCGCGGUAAUUC